AAACCCGGAUUUUGGGGGGCAGCAUCCCUCGCUGACAAAUUUGCAAAUCCCUUCUCAUAAAUCACUUGCUGUGUCCCAGAAGCGGCACCGGGCCCGGUGUCCCCACAGAGGCAGGACCUGAGCCGGGCCCGGCCCCGCGGACACGGAAGGCCGCCAAGGAGCCCUCACGGUACCUAUUUUUGCAGCGUCCAUCUUCAGGUUGAAAUCCCAGUUCCGUGGCAGCUUCAGGGACAUUCUGGCUCAGGAAAGUCUUUUUGUUUUCCUUCCUUCCUCAAGGCAAUCCCUCAGGAAGGAGAGCACAGGGCAGGGAACAGGGAAUGUGAGUUUGGAAAACCUGGAGCACGCCACGGCGCUGAAUGAAACUCCCCCAGAGAACACAGGACCCUGUGAAGGGAAAGCUGCAGUGGAGGAAGUUCCACAAUGGACACUCACCAGCAACCCAAAGAGACCAAAAAUCCUCUAAUAAAAAGGGGAAAAAUAAAAAACCCUCCAAUAAAACCCUCCCAGGUUUUAGUGUUUUAAGCACAGGACUAAUUAGACCUGCCUGUAUCUUAACUGUCCAUAAAAACAAUGGGUUUCCUCUAACAAUAAAACAACAGGGAGGUGAACGAGCCCUGUGUGAUGGUGGGAUGCCCC